rnacentral:rRNA from 1 species
AUUGAACGCUGGCGGCAGGCCUAAUACAUGCAAGUCGAACGAGUGGCGGACGGGUGAGUAAUGUCUGGGAACCUGCCUGAUGGAGGGGGAUAACUCCUGGAAACGGUAGCUAAUACCGCAUACCAUUCGAUUUGCCCAGAUUGGAUUAGCUAGUAGGUGGGGUAAAGGCUCACCUAGGCCACGAUCCCUAGCUGGUCUGAGAGGGUGACCAGCCACACUGGAACUGAGACACGGUCCAGACUCCUACGGGAGGCAGCAGUGGGGAAUAUUGCGCAAUGGGCGCAAGCCUGAUGCAGCCAUGCCGCGUGUAUGAAGAAGGCCUUCGGGUUGUAAAGUACUUUCAGCGAGGAGGCGGUACUCGCAGAAGAAGCACCGGCUAACUCCGUGCCAGCAGCCGCGGUAAUUC